rnacentral:tRNA from 1 species
GGCCCCGUGGUGGAAUUGGCAGACACGAGGGACUUAAAAUCCCUUUCCUCCGGGAGUGACGGUUCGAGUCCGUCCGGGGCUA